UCAAAUUUCCCCUUAGGUAGACAGGUGGGAUCUUUUAUAAAUAUGUAUUUAUUAUUUAUGUAUCGGAGGAAGCUGCAAAAUCUAAGUUUGUUUACCGUUGCAUUAGAGAUGUUCUUUUUAAGCUGUGGCGUCACGGUACGUGCACUUAAGUUAGUUGUGCCUUGCGUGCAUCUUCGGAGUACACAUGGCUAUCUGCACUGCAUGGAAGGUUUUGGAUGUAAAGGAUCGUGCUCUUCGUUGUCAGGCUCUAUGGAGAUGUAAGCUAUCCGAGCGGAGUCAACACGAUCAUCACAUUUACAUAUAUGUGCUGCCGAAGCUAGCACAAACAUGGGGCUCGGAGGACCGGUAUUUGUACCAUGGAUACCAAGUGCUCUUCUGACUGACAGUAAGUAGAUAAAUCUAGACUGCUCGGUGGAAUAUAUGCAAAGGAGAUUUGGCUCUGGCUGCUGUGAUUGGAUCAGCGUGGUGACGUAAAGCAGUUCUUUGUCAUGCUUCACAUUCCUAACACCACCCAUUCCCCCGCCGAAAGAUCAUGCAACCUCCCCCACAGCAGACGCUUUUCUUUUCAGGAAACGGACACACUAGUGUAGCGUGGCAUUAUACUAGUUACCCUAUUUAAUCUGGUCUUUUCUGUCUAGGUUGUUGCUUGUAAAUCACAAGCAACUUAGUGAUCAGCUUCUGCCUACUAAAACCACCCUGAAGCUUGCAUGACAAAUAUCUGGCUGAACCCAGUUGUUAUAGGUAGUCCAGGAGUAUGCACUAAAGUGAAAUCUUGUAAUCUGAGUCUAGAAAUUGUUUCACAUUUGUCUUUGUUUAAGAUUUACAAACAUCUAAAAAGUUAAUGAUUCUUGACUGAGAGUUCCUAUAGUUCUCUUGUUAGAGCAUUGGCAGUGCAAAGUUUAAAGGUUUGAUUCCCAGGGAACACAUACUGGUAAAAUGUGUAACUGAAAUGCACUGUAAGUUGAUUUGGAUAACAGCAUCUUGCAAAUGCAUAAAUGUUAAUGUAUAUGACUGAUUAUUAAAAUAUUAAUAUUAAAAUA